rnacentral:lncRNA from 1 species
AUGUUAUAAAGCCAUAGUAAUCAAAACUGUGGUAUUGGAGAAAGGAUACAUAGAUCAUCAGAACAGAGCAGAGCAGAGCAUCCAUAAAUAUGCACACAUAAAUAUAGUCUACCAAAAUUUACAAUAGUGCAAAGGUAAUUCAUUUGAGAAAGUAGUCUUUUCAACAAAUGGUGAUGAAACACUUGGAUAUCCAUAUGCAUAAAAUGAAACUUGAUACACAUUUUAUGUCUCAUACACAAAUAAGUCAUGAACCUAAAUGUAAAACAUAAAACUAUACAACUUCUAGAGCAAUGGUUUCAAGUGGUAGUAACUUUUGUCUCCAAGAAACAAAGUAUAGAGACAUUUUUGACUGUCAGUACUUGGGGGGAGGAGAUCACUGGCAUCUAAUGGGUGCAGACCAGGGAUGUCACUAAAUAUCCCACAAUGCACAGCACAGUCACCAUCACACACACGAAAAUGCCAAUUUCUAGUCUGGAUAAAUAUACCAUGGUUAUGUAACUAUCUCUUAUUAGAGGAACAGAAACUUGGUAAAGAGUGUAUGGGAAUGCUUUUUACUCCCUUUGCAACUCUUCAGGGCAAUAGACUAUACUUCAAAGUCUAACAUUUAAUAAUUUCCUAUUCUAUUUCUGUGAAGGCAUCAUGUACUGUAGCAGAUGUAUUCUGCUUUGAUGUCUUGCAAAAUCACUUUGAUUCUUCAAUUAAAUUUAUUAAAUGUGUAAAUAUUGCCAGUCAUGUAUUAUAUGUUAAAAAUUUGAGACCAAUAAAAUAUUUUCAAAUGUCUCCUCUUUAUAGGAGCUUUCCUGUUUCAUCUAACCUAAAAUACCACCUUUCUCCACCAAUCUUUCUGAUGUUCUCCCCAUGGAACUUUUUUCUGACUGUUUUCCCUUUUCUAGGGUAUAUGCUCCAUGAAGGCAGGGACUUUGUUGUACCUCCAGGGCCAGAACUGGCACACUAGAGAUGGAUGCUUAAUAAAUAUUUGUUGAGUGAAUGAAUUAUAUGUAUUUGUGUUGCGUCUUCCCAAUAAGUGGUCUUUAUUCAAACGUUGGAGCUUCAGUAAACCCCUAUUUGGCUGUGAACAGAUUAGUCUCAAUCCUAGUAUUUAAUUUACCCCGAGUGAAAGUAACACCUUUCUCUUAAGCAGCAAGAUGCAUUAAUCUUUACGUUAAGAUUUUUCAUGGCAAAAAACAAAUCCAUUUUUUUUCUUCCCUUUCUUCAGCUCUGGGGAUGCCAGGCAAGAAGGAGAUGACGGGGUAGAUAAUGGUUACUUUGUAAUUUUCUGGAAGAUCAUGCUGGUUCUACUAGAAGACUUUUACCUCACAUGAUUGGAUGCUCCUCAAGCUGAACUUCUUCCAUUUGUGAUAGUAUUUGGACCAUUUCUAGAAUAUGUUAUAAGAUUUUUAUAAGAUUGUCUUUCCAAUUAAAGUUUUAGGUUAAAGUU